GGCAAGAUGGCCGAGUUGGUUAUGGCGCCAGGUUAAGGUUACCUUGACAUGUUUCCUGGUGGGGCAACCUUCGUGGGUUCAAAUCCCACUCUUGUCA
rnacentral:tRNA from 1 species